GGGGAUGUGGCUCAGUGGUAGAGCGCUCGCCUAGCAUGUGUGAGGCACUGGGUUUGAUUCUCAGCACCACA
rnacentral:tRNA from 1 species